rnacentral:rRNA from 1 species
UACGUAGGGACCAAGCGUUGUUCGGAUUUACUGGGCGUAAAGCGCGCGUAGGCGGCCCGGUAAGUCCGCUGUAAAAGUCAAAGGCUCAACCUUUGAAUGUCAGUGGAUACUGCCGGGCUAGAGUCCGGAAGAGGCGAGUGGAAUUCCUGGUGUAGCGGUGGAAUGCGCAGAUAUCAGGAGGAACACCAACGGCGAAGGCAGCUCGCUAGGACGGUACUGACGCUAAGGCGCGAAAGCGUGGGGAGCGAACAGG